rnacentral:misc_RNA from 1 species
GAUGAAGAACGUAGCGAAAUGCGAUAAGUAAUGUGAAUUGCAGAAUUCAGUGAAUCAUCGAAUCUUUGAACGCACCUUGCGCUCCUUGGUAUUCCGAGGAGCAUGCCUGUUUGAGUGUCAUUAAAUUCUCAACCAUUAUCAACUUUUGCUGAUAAUGGCUUGGAUGUGGGGGUCUAUUUUGCUGGCUUCUCAGAUAGUCAGCUCCCCUUAAAUGCAUUAGCCGGUGCCCCGCGUGGACUGUCUAUUGGUGUGAUAAUUAUCUACGCUAUAGACAUCUGCAAUCAUAUGGGUUUGCGCUGCUUCUAACAGUCUGUUGAUUCAGACAAUACAUGACAAUUUGACCUCAAAUCAGGUAGGACUACCCGCUGAACUUAAGCAUAUCAAUAAGGGAGGA